UGACAGACCUGUCUGAAGCCAGACUUCAAAACCUCAGCAAUAUCCUGACUGAGGUCUCCUCUCUCUGAGACAUUAGUAGGCUCUGUGAAGCGAGUGCUGCCCUCUUACCGCAUGGCUCUGUCCUGUUUACUGGUUGUGCAGGUAUAAUUUGGGAAGCCAGAAUUCACAGGAGAAACUUCAAACCUUCUACCUAUGGGAAAUUAAAACCAGAAUUUCUGCAAGAAGUCGGAGAUAAAAUACAGGCAUGUGAGGCCUGGAGGAUUUUACUCAGAGGAAAAUUGCUCCCUCUUUUACCUUCUGCGUUUCCAUAGAGGAAGGCUGUGAACGGGUCAGUUGUUGACUGGCCAAGAACCUCAAGUUGUGCUGGAUCUGCAUGUAAAUUUGCUUUUAGCAGCAUGAAACUCAAGCAAUUUGACAAAUGAAUAGGAAACCCAACCACAGGGAAAAGGAAGUUCAGCCGAACGGUUGAAAGAACCGUUCGUAAAGGCUUCAAGAAACUUUAAGAGUGUGAGCCCGGACUAUGGAAUUUUUAAACAUCUUUAAGACAAUUAGAUACUAACUGAACGUGCCAAUUUCUGUUAAUAUUACAGGAAACAUAUUGGUAGGAUGCUAGGUCACUACUGAAAAGGUAACAUUAUCCUAAAAAUAAUUUAGAUUCUGGAUCAACUGAUUCAUGUGCCAUAAUCGUGACAACAUUGUUCCAGCUGCUAUUUUUUCGCACGCAUAGUACUCUGCCUCCAUAAUUUAUUCUUUUCAUAAAUCUUCCAGGGGUGGCAUUGUUAACCCCACAUUUCAGAUAAGAAAACCGA
rnacentral:lncRNA from 1 species